rnacentral:lncRNA from 1 species
ACAAGCUACUCACAUGCAUUUCAUGGUGCAUAACUGCUCCGCAUAAAAUCAGUGAAAAUUGAUGUUCUCUCGCGGUGUUGCCAGAUUUUUCCCCCAUGGACGUCCAUAUUGUCGGGGAUAUUGCAAACUGCCUACCUAGUCCAAGUAAUCGACGCGAAAUCAAUGAUGAGAAUGACAGAGAAUUAAAGACCUUCUGGUAUCUCAGGUUAGGAGCCCAUGAACCAUUCAUAUUCUCAAUAAGUCACAGAUCGACAAAAAUGACAAUCUGGCGAAAGCUAAAUUUCGAUCGGAGGAAGAGCUACGGGGUGGUUAUUAAAAAAUAA